CUUUGGGAGUGUGUGUGACGCUGUGACUGACUCCUCUGCUCCCUCCUUCACUGGAAUGCAAUUUCCUGGAAUGUCAGGCGGAGAGAUGGGGAGCAGAUAACGUGCCAUGAGCAUAAGGCCUGUAAUUGGCCAGAUCUACAGAAUGGAGGAGAAAGAGGGACUGGCACGGCAGGUGUGUGUGCGCGCGUAUCUGGCCGGGACUACGCCACGAGAUACAGGAAGUGAUUGACACAGCAAGAUGCGUGUGUGGGUGCGUUACACUGACCAAUUGCACACGAAUACAGAGAAGACCACCCAUCAAUCCGUCUGCCCCACCGCCACACACAUGCAAACCUCGAGGUCAUCGGAGCUUCCAGACACGCACUCAGUAAACGUUGCCUAUCCACCACACGCCCUGUGCUGGUUCAGAGGUACCAUUCCAAACCUAACAUGGAAAAUCACACUGUGGCUAUGGGACCAAAAAGUGAAGCUGAUUCAGGAUAGAGGUGUGUGCUUAUUCUGCAAGCCUGUUUCAUGUCCAAUCAAGCCCACCGCGGAGAGUGUGACCCAAACAUAAACAUUUAUUCUGUAUUUAGCUCUCUUUCUCGGUUAUUAUUUCUCAUUAAGAGUCUCUGAAUCAGACCGCUGCUCAAACCAAAACAAACAGGCUUUUAAAUAUGUCUCUUUUGGGUUUCAACUGUGUACACACACUAAAAUGGUUCAGUUAGAAUAAAAAAUGCCUUUAUCUCCCAUUGGUAAAACUUUUUAAGUAACCUGAUGAACUACACCUAUAGACCAUUUUGCAAGGCGUGAACUUAAGUUUCAGAAGUACUUCCUGUCUCAGUUUUUUACACAUUACACAAACGAUUGAACAAAAUAAAACCAAUUGUAAUAUCAAACAGAUAUCUUUCAUACGUUAAAUAAAAAAAUAAUAACAAAACUGAAAUAGCAAUGGGUCCUGGACGAGUGUCGUUUAUGUCUUAUAAAAUGGUCUAUAGUAUUUUAUUCAAAAAAUGUGGAUGAACUUAAAGGGAACUAAUGACAUUUAUCCAGUAGAAUGACCUGGGAACCUAAAAUGAACAAAAAGAAGUGCAAAAUGUCUUAUUUUGAGUUUGCUAUUUGUUUCGAUAUAUUGUUUUGUAUUGUAUUGUAUUUUACCAAAAUGUGCAUGUUUAAAGAAAUGUUUGGGUGUACUGGCACUUUAAAUUGCCCAUAUCCCAUAAUGUAACAUCAAAAACGUUUUGUCUUUUAAUUCAAGCACCUUUAUACAAUAUAUAGAAAAAUGU